UAAUACUCGAUAGUCUCCAAUUACUUCGGUAUUUUGGAGUAAAGUUUCGGCGCUUUAAGAGGGGCCUGCGUCCUAUCAGCUAGUUGGUGAGGUAAAAGCUCACCAAGGCUAAGACGGGUAGCUGGUGUGAGAGCAUGUUCAGCCACCAUGGAACUGAGACACGGUCCAUACUCCUACGGGAGGCAGCAAUUAGGAAUCUUGCGCAAUGGGGGCAACCCUGACGCAGCGACACAGCGUGGAGGAGGAAGGUCUUCGGAUUGUAAACUCCUUUUAUGAGGGACGAAUAGAUGACGGUACCUCUUGAAUAAGUACCUGCUAACUACGUGCCAGAAGCAUCGGUGAUGCGUAGGGUACAAACGUUAUCCGGAGUUAUUGGGCGUAAAGAGAUGCGUAGGCGGCUUAAUAAGUCUAAGGUUAAAACCCACGGCUCAACCGUGGACAAGCUUUGGAUACUGUUAUGCUUGAGAUAUAGAGGGGUGAAUGGAAUUCCGAGUGGAGUGGUGAAAUACGUUGAUAUUCGGAAGAACACCAGUGGCGAAGGCGAUUCACUGGCUAUUAUCUGACGCUAAGGCUCGAAAGUAUGGGUAGCAAAACGGAUUAGAUACCCGUGUAGUCCAUACCGUAAACGAUGAAUGCUAGGUGU
rnacentral:rRNA from 1 species